rnacentral:rRNA from 1 species
CACGUAGGGGCCAAGCGUUGUCCGGAUUUAUUGGGCGUAAAGAGCUCGUAGGCGGUUGGGUAAGUCGGGUGUGAAAACUCCCGGGCUCAACUCGGAGACGCCACCCGAUACUGCUCUGACUUGAGUCCGGUAGGGGAGUGGGGAAUUCCUGGAUGUAGCGGUGGAAAUGACGCAGAUAUCAGGAGGAACACCGGUGGCGAAGGCGCCACUCUGGGCCGAACUGACGCUGAGGAGCGAAAGCGUGGGUAGCAAACAGG